UACGGAGGGUGCAAGCGUUGCUCGGAAUCACUGGGCGUAAAGCGACCGCAGGCGGCCUGACAAGUCGGAUGUGAAAGCCCUGGACUCAACUCAGGAAUUGCAUUCGAAACUGGCAGGCUUGAGUACGGGAGAGGGGGGGUGGAAUUCCUGGUGUAGGGGUGAAAUUCGUUGAUAUCAGGAGGAACACCGGCGGCGAAGGCGGCCCCCUGGCCCGCAACUGACGCUCAUGGUCGAAAGCGUGGGGAGCAAACAGG
rnacentral:rRNA from 1 species